rnacentral:rRNA from 1 species
UUCCGGCAUCGAUGAAGAACGCAGCA